GCAUAGUGUUAUAGGGGAUGUAGCGAGUGUGUGCAUAUGGGCUGUAGUGUGUGCGUAUAGGUGACGUAGUGUGUUUAGGGGUUGUAGAGAGCAGGGGCGUAUUAGCCGCGAGGCAAACAAGGCAUUUGCCUUGGGCGGCAUUUUUCAGGGGGUGGCAAAAAACGCCGCCCCCAAAUGCCCAGGGCAAAUGCCUUGUUAGCGGCUAA